GACGAACGCUGGCGGCGUGCUUAACACAUGCAAGUCGAACGGAAAGGCCCUGCUUUUGUGGGGUGCUCGAGUGGCGAACGGGUGAGUAACACGUGAGUAACCUGCCCUUGACUUUGGGAUAACUUCAGGAAACUGGGGCUAAUACCGGAUAGGAGCUCCUGCUGCAUGGUGGGGGGUGGAAAGUUUCGGCGGUUGGGGAUGGACUCGCGGCUUAUCAGCUUGUUGGUGGGGUAGUGGCUUACCAAGGCUUUGACGGGUAGCCGGCCUGAGAGGGUGACCGGCCACAUUGGGACUGAGAUACGGCCCAGACUCCUACGGGGGGCAGCAGUGGGGAAUAUUGCACAAUGGGCGGAAGCCUGAUGCGGCAACGCCGCGUGCGGGAUGACGGCCUUCGGGUUGUAAACCGCUUUCGCCUGUGACGAAGCGUGAGUGACGGUAAUGGGUAAAGAAGCACCGGCUAACUACGUG
rnacentral:rRNA from 1 species